UGCAGUCGAAGCUUCUUUUUCACCGGAGCUUGCUCCACCGGAAAAAGAAGAGUGGCGAACGGGUGAGUAACACGUGGGUAACCUGCCCAUCAGAAGGGGAUAACACUUGGAAACAGGUGCUAAUACCGUAUAACAAUCAAAACCGCAUGGUUUUGAUUUGAAAGGCGCUUUCGGGUGUCGCUGAUGGAUGGACCCGCGGUGCAUUAGCUAGUUGGUGAGGUAACGGCUCACCAAGGCCACGAUGCAUAGCCGACCUGAGAGGGUGAUCGGCCACAUUGGGACUGAGACACGGCCCAAACUCCUACGGGAGGCAGCAGUAGGGAAUCUUCGGCAAUGGACGAAAGUCUGACCGAGCAACGCCGCGUGAGUGAAGAAGGUUUUCGGAUCGUAAAACUCUGUUGUUAGAGAAGAACAAGGACGUUAGUAACUGAACGUCCCCUGACGGUAUCUAACCAGAAAGCCACGGCUAACUACGUGCCAGCAGCCGCGGUAAUACGUAGGUGGCAAGCGUUGUCCGGAUUUAUUGGGCGUAAAGCGAGCGCAGGCGGUUUCUUAAGUCUGAUGUGAAAGCCCCCGGCUCAACCGGGGAGGGUCAUUGGAAACUGGGAGACUUGAGUGCAGAAGAGGAGAGUGGAAUUCCAUGUGUAGCGGUGAAAUGCGUAGAUAUAUGGAGGAACACCAGUGGCGAAGGCGGCUCUCUGGUCUGUAACUGACGCUGAGGCUCGAAAGCGU
rnacentral:rRNA from 1 species